CCAGCUCUGGCUGACGUAUCUUUGGCGUUUUCAGCGUGUUACAGCCAGAGAGGAAGAGAAGUGUCUCAUCCGGCUGUGGCUGUCCUUGCCUUUCCGCUCCUGUCACCCAGACCUGGCACUGGGCUCUCCAGCGACCAUCUGCCUUCAGCUCUGGAGGGAGCGCUGCUCCGCGGAGCGCCCAGACAGACAGACCUACAGGAAAAGAUGGUGUGAGCCUCAAGGAACCUAGCUGUUAAGGAGAGACAGGAAUAUGCAAGUAAUUUAAUUUUUCAUGCAAAACUCUGCUAGGAACUACUAGACUUUCCAAAAUGUAUUCCAAAGAAAUGCAGAGAUAGAUUCCCGACCGGCAUUAAUCAGUGCUGAUUAAGUCAUUGAGCUACCCAAUUUCUGCCUGGUGUUUGUUUGAAGCUUUGGGUCUUGGAAGUUACCAGGACUAGGACUGAACUAGGAGUAUAUCCCUGUCCCUACAACCUGCCACUGUCAGGAAAAGCUGUUUACUGCAGUGGAGGUGGAGCUGCCUCUACAGUGAUAUAAGGAUAUAGGGUUAGCACAAGGCAAGUAAAAACACGUUGCACUGAUGGUGCAGAGGUUUGAGAGAAUGUGCAAAGCACAGGCUCCUGGGAAAUGGACAUUGUCACAUGUGGCUCGUUAGCACACUGAAGCUCUGACCUAGCAAAUAUUUACAUGCACUGAAGUGCACAUUUGAAAGGGCUAAAUAUACACCUGCUCCCCGCUUCAGCUGCCAGACAUCUCUAGACUCUGCAUUUAGUGCAAAUGUCUUUGACUCAAAAACAUAUGCUGCAGUUUUGCUGAAGAUGUAGGUGUAUUUUUAUAAUGGUUUGGUGCUGUUAUUGUAAAAGUAAGCCUUUUUUUUUUAAUCCUUCUCUCAACAUGUCAUAGAGUAUCCAACCAGCAUUCUGAGCAGUGUUUCACUGGGGAGGUUUAGGAGAAUUUUGGUCUUCUCCCCCUCUCCAGCUUCCUUUCCUCUCUGCAGGUGCAUUGGAAAUACUGCCCAUGACCAGAAGGUCAGCAAGAGGCUCCUCCUCCCCUGCCAUGAGCUCCCACUCCAGCCUGAGCAUCCCUGCCUGUGGACAACCUCCACCAUGAGACAGCAACCCCAAAGAGCUUCACCUGCUCUGCUAAACAGGACUCUGUGGACAAUGGGCCCUGGCAUCUCAGGAAGAAGAGAUUUCACAGCUCCUGCCUGCCUGCCAUGCCAGCCCUGCCUCUCCUGCCUGGGACUGCCAGCCUGGGGAGAACUUUUCACCCUCACUGACAUCACUGCUCUGCUGAGCCACUGCAGGCACCACCUCCUCCCCUCCCCUCUCUCUUGGCUCACUGCCACCCAAACCCACUGGGGAGCUUCAGGGGUUUUUUUUGUUCUCUGGUGGGAAAUUUCAUUUGACCCUUUCAAGUGGGACAAGAACAGAUAUUAGAUUUGUUGAUGAUGAAGUGCUUUUAUCUGAAUUCAACAAAAGAGCUACAAUGAAAAGAUUGCAGCUGUUGAGCAAAAGCACCGCACCUAUUACAGAGUUCACGUGCGUUUACAAGUGGCACAUCAGUGAAGGCUCUCCUCACCCUUGCAGAUGUACCUCCUUCCACAGAAAACUUGAUAAUCUCUCUCUCAGCUCUGCUUUUUCUACACACCCUUGGGAAAACGUGGUGUUUGACUGUCUUGCCAGAUCUUGCAGUGACAGAACUGCUAUUAGCAGAUUAACUUCAAGAUCUUGAGAGCUGUUACAAAAUUCAGAUGAAGAGUGCAGAGCUCACCAUCUAGGUGCAAAGCCACAGGUCCCCCGUCCCCAGGACACUGGAGAUGCCUUUCUCACCUCGCUGGACUCCAAGUGCAGAGCUCCAGGUGCACCUUUGUGCCUGUGAGUUUGAGGUUCAGAGCACUUCUGUGGACAAGUGGUGUCAUUCAGCAAAGCCUGCAGCAAAACUGUGGAAAUUCUUCAUUGACUUCUGCACAAUCCAGCAUUUGCUUUGCACUGAUGAAUGAAGUAAAGGUUCAGCUGAUUACUUCAUGCAGCUUCUACUCCCAAUAUUAAACCAUUGCUUCAUUCUCUAUUCCUAUGCCCUCACCAAAUAGUAGUACAUUAUUUUAUGGGAUAACCUCAUUUUCCUUCCCUUCUUCUGUUGCCUUUCUAAGGCAGACCUGGAGUUGGAAGAAAAAAAACCAAUGAGCUAGUCCUUGUUAGAGCAAUAAGGGAUUUUAGGCUCCUUCCUCAUCCCAAGUGGCUUUGGCCAUUUCCUUUUAUUCUUUAACAUUGUUUGCAUUAUUUACACAGCUGCUCCACUAACUUUUUCUUGUUAUGUGUUUGUUUAUUUCUUCCAAUUUUUUUUUUUUUUAAAUUUUAAGUUUUUCUCUUUAGGUUUUAAAACAACAUCAAUUUAUUUUUACCACUUCAAAAAAUUAUUUGCUUGUAAUUAAACCCUCACAUCUAAUAGUGCCUAAAUGUAAGAGUGACCUGUGUUUAUGAGGGGGACACAGGGGAAGGUUUUGAAAGCUGAACCACAUCAUUUCACGAUCCAUAAUCAGUUUUUAGGGGUUUUCCAUUAUAAUUAUUUCAAGGACCAGGUGUCCAAAAAGGUAUCAUUUUUCUCCCCAGCUUGUGCUAGAUGUUUUAAAAAAGGUAUUAAUGCAGCUGUACAGGUUAUAGCUGGGUGUGUGACUGCCCGCUGGAUUUACACGCGCAAUUACCCCAAAAGCACACAACCCUCCGAGACUCACACAUGCAAAAAUCCUCUUGGCUGGAAAACUCUUGGCAUGGAUGCUCCAUUUCCAUAUGCAGUCACACUGAAUAUGCACAUACAUUAGGUGCAGGAGCACACACGUAUUUUUCAAACUGGGGGCCUUGGUGUGAACCUAAAGAAGAAAAGACAAAUGCUGCGAAAAAGGGGCUUAGGUCAAAUUCAGUGAGCAAGGAUGAAUCUGCUGGGUUGGACUCGUGUUUUGUACCAGUGCACAUCAUUUUCUGCAAUUAAAUAUGCAAAAAAAGGGUGGAUUUUUAGUUUUUUUUCCUUUAUGCCUUUACAUCCUUUGAAAAUUUAUAAUCUUUAAUUUUCCCUUUCUGAUUCUAACAGAUGAAAACCAGCCUGAUGUAAAUUUUUGUCCAAAAGAGACAACUCAAUGAAAAAAAAAAGUGCUUCUGAGUAUUAACAUGUUUGAAAAUCAGGCAACCAAAGACUGUAAACAUAGACAUAGGUGUCUGAAUUUAGGCACCUAUUUUUUAAAACCUUGGCUUUGAAAAUAAAGUAUCUGAAUGUAUAUAGGAAAUAUAAAUCACCAGUCACUUUUAUUACAUGUAUGUUUAUAUAAAGACCUUAGAACACAUUUUUAAAAUGUAAACGUUUCUUAGUAUGUUUAACUAUGUGUCUAAAGAAGAUGUAGGACAGAAAGAAAACAAAAUUUGAUGAAUGUUUCUGAUCAAUCCUGAAGAAAUCAAUAGGAAUUUGCUCACAGCAUGAUUUCAUUUAAGUUUCCAUGCUAGGAACAGUAACCUGGCUUUCUGUUAAAGCAAAAGCAUUCGUACUUCUUAGUGAUUAAAUUCUCAUGUCAACAUGUAUCAGGCAGGCAGAGAAUGGUUUGGAGACUGGGAGGGGAAGCAGGAAUGGAUGGAAACACAUGGAAAUUGUGUGGACUGAGCUGUAUGGUUGGGUGACUUCAUUUCACCAAAACUAGUUUUUAAUAGAAAACGGAGUUUUCAUUGAGAUGCAUAUUUCCUCUCCCCUUUGAGGGAGCAGAAACUGUUUGUUUCUCAAACUAUCCUUUAAUGUUUGUUUGAAAAAUAUCUAACACCUGAGAAUAGGAACAGCUUGGUAGAGAAAAGAGAGAAAAGACAUUGAAUCCUGACCACUGCAUCAGUUCCUUGGUGGGAGCCACAGCCUGGGUGCCUGGGGUGUCUCCCAUCCCUGCAGCCACACACCCCACAACCUGCAGGAGUUUGGUAUCUCAUCAUGUACACUCUUAGUGUGCCACUGGAACACAAAAAGAAGAAGGGACAAGCCCAGACAAGAGAAUGAAGACAUGCAACCACAGCUCUUGUGAAUGAACUUGGGUUGUUUGGUUUUUUUUUUUUUUGCCAAAAGGAUAAGUAUUUUGGCUGAAACUCAAAUAUCACAACAAAGAAUUUUGUUUUGGAAAUGUCAUCAGGUUGGCUUUUUUUCCAAAAACCAGAUUUGAGUGAAGAAAGCCCCUGCUUUCCACCUUCCCAAGCAAGGCAAAACUGUUGGCACUCCAAGUUCCUAUAUUGAAGUUGCUUCUACUCCCUUAGCAGACCAGAACCUUGCAUGGUGUAUGGAAACCAAUGGAGCAUUCAAACCUAGAGAACAUCUGGUUUACAAUAUUUUCUUCUUGCUUUUUCAUGGUUGUGCUCCUGGAAGCACAUUUGGGUCUACAAGUGUGGGUGUGCACGUAUGUCUGUUCUUAUUUAUUCUAAAUAUAAACUGUUUUCUGAAAGGGCAUUAUUCAUAGACAGAUGAAAGAGCACUGUCCUUCUUAGAAGUCUGGUUCAAAACCCCAAGUUGACACUGGGUGCCAUACUGGACUAAAGCAAAGUGUGGAAAGAGUGUUCUCCAUAUUCUGACAGAGUCCUGGUUGGAAAGUUAUGGGUAAUAAAAAAGAUCCCAGCUUUGCUGCUUCAUUGAAUCCCCAGUUAUACAUAAAGCAGAUGUCAUCUUUGCAAUAUGCAAUGUGUAGGCAAAGAAACUCUAUCAGCCAGUGACAUCUGAGAGUGACAUUGCUUUGAAAUGCACCUUUCUAUCUGUGUACACACAAAAUUAUGUGUGCUCACACACACAGUCUAUAUGGCUUAAACACAAUGAUUUAUUAUGACUUUUUCCAUCAGAAUCCAGAUUUGACUGACCAUAGAAUUCAUACAAAAAAAAAGACAAAAGAAAUGUUUUAUUUCAGGCUGAGCUGAUGAGUGAGUCUGCAAACGAAAACACCACAAAAUCCAGUUUCAGCCCAACAAUCUAAAGAGGCUCUAUUAUUAUGAUCUUUAUUUUCAUUAUUUUGUGGGCAAGGUAUGAAGCAAAAUAGCUGUGUCUGUUUAGCUGCCUGAACAAUAGAAAAGUUUAUGCAGCUCCUGAGCUGAAAUGUUUUUGACAGUUUUCAAUUUUAGUUCUUUUGAUUUGGUAAGAAAUCUGCAAAAAUAUGAUUUUGAAAAUCACCAGUUUCAUGCUUUAUUCCUUUCUCAAAAUUAGACUAUAUUGUCCAACUCCUCUUCACUUACUGUGUCUGAGGGAAUCCUAGAAAAUAGCUGGGAAGAAUCAGUGCUGGGCUGUUGCUUAGAAACUGCCUGGGUUUCUAUAAUAUUGCCUGAUGUAAUAGUUAUAUUGCCCACUAGCAUCUGUUAACAAGCAAUACAACAGAAUCCACAGGUACCAAUAAAGAAACAAACCUGGAAUUCAUUACUUUCCUUGAAAAUUCAUCAGUGCUUUUUCUAGCUUGGCAAAGUGUUUUUCUCAGGUGCUAAUUAAUAAAAUAGGAGAUGUACUGCCUCUA